rnacentral:misc_RNA from 1 species
AAGUCGUAACAAGGUUUCCGUAGGUGAACCUGCGGAAGGAUCAUUAACACGUAUCCAACGUUAAACCCCCCCCCGUGAACUUUCAAUCCUGCUCUUGUGAGUGUACGGUCUACAGGAAUCGUGAAGCGCUAUCCUUGCACAAUCAGUGACACUUUCCGACACUGACUGCUUGGGGAAACAAUGCCUAUGAAACUACCGCUCGAUUGUAACUGUUCCAAUGUUCUCACGUAGCCAGAGGUCUCUGAAUCAAAACAACUUUCCGGGCUAUGAUUUACCAGAGAUUGCGAACUACGCGGGUUGGGCAGGAGCUAUGCCAAAGGGUCCCCAUGCCCCCUUAUAACCCCACAGUUUAAUGUAAAGCUCAAUGUAAUACAUUGGGUAAAAAAACCGAACAACUGUUAACAAUGGAUAUCUUGGUUCUC